CCCCGACCCGUACUGCGCCGUCGCCGCCCCCGCGCCCCCGCCGCCUCCCCGGCUCCGGCCCUCGCCCCGGCGGCGAUGAGCCCUUCCGCCCCCACCAUCUCCGUCCCGUUUGAGGUGAGGCCCUCGCCCGGCCGCCCUGCCCGGCCGCCCGGUCCUCCCUAACCCAAGGUCAGGGGCUCCGCCGUCAAGUUCCUCUCCCACCCCAAGGUCAGGGGCAAGCGGCUAGGGUUUCGCCCGCGUCGCCUCCCACCUCCCGUCCCCGCCCAGGCCGCCAUGUUCCAGCUUGGCUCCACCCACGGGAAGGGCUUCUGGGCGCGGCAACGGUGGAAGAUGCUCCUCUCACUGGGCGUCGCCGGCGCCGGCUACGCGGCCUACCGCUUCUACGACGCGCACCAGAAGCAGCUCGUCCGGGUGGAGCAGCACCGAGGAGGAGCGCGCCGCCGACGAGAUCAUCAAGAAUCAGUGAGCACACAAACCCAAACCACCACCAGAUUUGUUUUUCUUGUGUAUGUAUUGGUGGGUGAUGCAGGGUACCCUGUGAUGUGCUGCUUAUAGCAAUAUCGUCUUAGCGCUAGCAAACUACAGUAGUUCUGUGAUGCAGAGGAUCUCGGAUACAACCACGCUGCCAUUUGCUAUGCACUCCCGACGUUCGCGGAUAAUGGAGGAGCUGGAUACUUCGCACCUGACCGAGAGGCUGCUGCAAGGGUGGAGCGGGCUGGACGACGCUGAAGUAGUCAUCUUCGUCGGCCCCGUCACUGCGUACGCAUACUCCUUCAAUUUUUCCCUCCUACUGGUGUUGUGAUCUGGAGAAGCUCAAGUAGUCAUCUUCGUCCAUCACGUCACUGCAUACGCAUAUGCCUCUGAUUUUUGACUCCUGCUCAAAGGAAUAGGAACAUUUUCCGCAAAAAAAGGAAUAGGACUGUGCUCCUCCCAAAAGACAAAAGCAAGACAAUGCAGACAAUAAAAAUCCAGCACCAACAAUGAAUAGCCGGAGUAAACAAAACAAGCAGACCAAAUCGUGUCGGCCCUCGAGGAAGGGUUGCAGUGUCGAGGAGCAGCAGGCAUGUAAAUCUGACUGCAAUUCAUGUCACGGUGGAUGGUUUGAGAGGAGGGAGGCAGAGCAGAGACAAACGGCGCAUUCCGUCAUGCAUGGUGCGUAGACAGGACUGAUGUUGCUCAAAUGCGAGCAUAUGUGCCCGUGUUGAAGGAGUUUUGCCCUCUGUCUAUGACUCAAGUGUCAAUGAUGCCUCUCCAUAUUAUCGCUACCAUGUCUUAUUUGUUUUGGUUGCUCAGCAAAUGUUUUGCGACACUGGACCUGUAUAAUUAUGGGCUACUCAUGCAGUUUAUUAUUUAAGUUUUGAAUGAUGUUAUCUGUUUCUAUUAUGCAUGCUUUCACAUAAAUGUUUCCAUCAAACAUUCCCUGUGAUCAUAUCUCCAGAACUUACAAGGAUUUCCCAAUGGAUCCUGUACGCAUUCCACCAAUGCUUAUUCCUUUCUUUCUAAUAGGAUUGUAAAUAUUCUGUGUACCAAUCUGCCCCUAAAUAUAUUUAUGUUCACUCUCACAAUAGAUGCCUUACUCUCGCCCCUUGCGCCAUCGGCGCAACGGGUCAUCUAGUAUUAUCAAAAGGUAAAUGCCCUGAUUAUUUAGCUCUAUCAGAUAAAUACUCGUCGAAAGUGGGCUCCUAUCAAAAUUCAUUUCCAUUAUAAUCGUACUCAUACAAUAUUCACACCAUGUAAUUCUGGAAAUAUAUGCUCAUAUCUAGUUCUGCAUAAAAAAUGACAGUAUUGACAUGUUAUAAAUAGUUUGUUUGUCUUUCUGUUUAUUUUGUUACAUUUUGCAGGGAUAAAGUGAAGAAAAAGAAGAAAAGAUUACUAGAAGAUUAGUUUUAGGAUUUUCUUUUAUUUCCUUGCAAUUAUCCUUUUAUUGGAAACUUGUAAAGACAUUGUAAUAUUCUUACUAUAAUAAAAAUUAUGAUUCUAUUUCAUUUUUUGUUUUUAAAUUAUUUUUCCUUAUAGGUUGUUUUCUGUAA